UCACAUUGCUUCCCGAGGUGACAAACAGCGCAGGGUCAGCGUCGCGGUCAGAGGAAGCGCGGAUAAUCGGCUGGUCGGGGCCGUCUGGGGGCAGGCGGGGGUCGGGAUGUGAAAGACUCCUGAACAGUGGGUCCCCGGCCUCCCGAUCUCGUGACACCUCCCCACACACAUACUCACAGAAGACGCUCACGUCGGCCUCAGCCUCCGUGUGGCCGAAGGGGCUGCGGACCCGGCAGGUGUACCGGGCGUGGUCACCGCGCACAGGACGAGAGAUGACCAGCUGGUCCCGCUCCACGCGGAUGCGAGAGGACGCUGUUCCAUCGGGGUCCGCAACCUCCAAGGCACGCCCAUCCUUGCUCCAGCUCAGCUCCCCGCGACCCGGACUCCACCCCAAGCAGCGCAGCCUCAGUUCGGCAGCCCCCUCCUCGGUCUCCGGGGCCUUGGGAUGAACCGACAGCCGGGGUAGGGGCUCUGGAGAGGGGGGAAACAGAUGCGUCGGGGAAUCUGGGCCCUAGAACUCCCUCCCUUACACUUGGGACGUUGGGGUUCAGCGUCUACCCACUCCUAGCACCAGAAGUUGUGGUCAGACUCAGGAGGCUACAUGCUGGCCCUCCUCCAUCAGAUUCAGGACAGGCCCCAAGCCUCCUCCCUCAGACCCAGGGGUCCAGACCCUGUCUUGGCCCUUAGCCUCUCCCCUCCCCAGAUCCAGUCCCACUGGGGAGGGUCCAUGCUCACACAGUCCAGUGACUUGUCCAGAGGUAUGUGAGCAGAGCAGGCCCUGUAGCCUGCCCCACUUACCGUACACACCCACCGUGAACUCCCGAAUGUGCCGGGAGACCCCUCCCCGGAUGACCUCAGCUGUGUAGACACCAGCAUCACCCAGCUGGGCAGACGUGAGUUCUAGACCCCCUCGGGCUUGGUCAAAUCGAAGGCGGUCUCGGUGCACUGGGUCCAGGCUUAAAAGAGGAGCCCCUGGCCCCAGGCCUCCAGCCGCCAGCACCUUGGAGCCCCGGCGCCAGACUACCAAAGGGGCAGGAGGCCCAGGACUGGGGACAGGAGUCAGAGGGAGACGGAUGGUGGUCCCCACCAGCACAGCCAGGGGCCCUCCCACCUGCUGCGCGAAGUUUGUGGCUGGCUCAUGGGACAAAUCUGGCAAGAAGUACGAAGCCACGUCCCCAUCUAAGGGAGACACCAUGGACAUAAGCCAACAGGUGCCCACUUUGGGAAUGGCCAAACCCAAUAAACACACAGACCCAGGAGGUUACUUCAGAUAAGAAUAAAUAGGAAGACGACAAAACAAAAUGGUGUCACAGGCUGAGCAGACGAUGAAGAACACUUUGGAGGAACUAAAACAGGAGAAAGUUCUAGAACUGCUGUGCCAUCUGGUAGCCACUGUCCUUGUGUGGCUAUUGAGCCUCUGGAAUGUGGCUGAAGAAGGAGGCCUUAAGAUUACAUUGGAAAACAUAUGAGAUAGUGUCAUGACCAUGGUGACAAUUUCAUGAGUAAACACACGUGUCAAAAUUUAUCACACUGCAUGCUUUACAUGUGUGUGUCUUACUACAGGUUGGUGAUGUCUCAAGAGAGCUGUGUUGAACACCCUGAUGGUGUAGUAACCGGAACUGUGAAGUCUGUUUGGAAUAACUUGGAUAUGUGCAAUCAACUUUUUCAACUGUGAGCUUCAGGAAUUGAAAUAAAAUAUUUCUUUUGUUGUUUUGUCUCACUUUA